rnacentral:rRNA from 1 species
AUUGAACGCUGGCGGCAGGCCUAACACAUGCAAGUCGAACGGCAGCGGGGGGAAGCUUGCUUCCCCGCCGGCGAGUGGCGGACGGGUGAGUAAUGCCUGGGGAGCUGCCCAAUCGAGGGGGAUACCAGUUGGAAACGACUGCUAAUACCGCAUACGCCCUGAGGGGGAAAGGUGGGGAUCUUCGGACCUAUCGCGAUUGGAUGCACCCAGGUGGGAUUAGCUAGUUGGUGAGGUAACGGCUCACCAAGGCGACGAUCUCUAGCUGGUCUGAGAGGAUGACCGGCCACACUGUAACUGAGACACGGUCCAGACUCCUACGGGAGGCAGCAGUGGGGAAUAUUGCACAAUGGGGGAAACCCUGAUGCAGCCAUGCCGCGUGUGUGAAGAAGGCCUUCGGGUUGUAAAGCACUUUCAGCGAGGAGGAAAGGGUGGCAGCUAAUACCUGUCAUCUGUGACGUUACUCGCAGAAGAAGCACCGGCUAACUCCGUGCCAGCCGCCGCGGUAAAAC